rnacentral:lncRNA from 1 species
UUCGGACCUAACCCAUAAUUCCUAGACACAUACCCCUAACCUUAAUAUAACCCUAAAACUCUAAACCUAUAAAAAAAAAGAAGCUAUCCUAGGAGCCUAGAGGGGGGACCUUAAUAGAUCCUUAUACAACCAAAGACACCCCCGAUCGAUCUUCUUCUUGAGGGAACUAACAAAAAAUCCCUAAGCAACAAAAAAUGGCAGCUGCUUCAUCUGCUACACAGCAGUUAACAGAGCACACUCACACACAUCUCCAAGGCUUCAACACCUUUCUUCUUCAUACACCAAAAGCACAAAACCAGACCCUUCAACCAAACCAGCCGCGUCCAGCAGUUGCUGCUUCGCCGGAAUGCCAAUCAGCCUCCCAGCCGCACCCCUGAACUGAUUGAUUUCAUUUUCGAAGUCGAGUACUCCGGUUUAAAUAGAAAGGAUUGAGCUGAGGCUGGUCCGAGAUUGCAUUCGUGGUUCUUGCUAAAAUAUCGCUGUUGUUUUCGUAUUUUGCUGAAAGAGAUUAAUUACUGAAGCAAGCUAUUAUCAUAAUUCUUAUAUAUCGUAGAAGCUUUAUUUAUCGAGGUCCAUUUCUAUCUCUCUUCUCUAGUCUCAUUUGUUAUGAAAUAAAAUUGAUGAAGAGCCAUUUAAGAUCUCGGGGAAUUAGAUAGUUGAUGAUGUCUAAAUAUCAAAUUUAAGCAACCAAGGUGCUUAUUUAUAGCUUACUCUUUCUGAUUUGUGGUCUCUGUUUGUGGUUUUUAUUGUCACGUGAAGGAUUUGGUAUUCAAUUUCCUCUUCUAUUUAUUUUGUUUGUUUCGAUCGUUAUGUUUGAUAAUUCGUAUAACUUUCAAAAUGUCCUGGUUUAGCUAACUUUCAAUGGUAUUGAAUCAUAUCAGUUUCCUCCUAAGGUCGGAUACUAAUUUGUUUGAACUAUAUGCAAGCUAUUUAAGCAAUGUUUGCUUUCCCCUGCUCUAUACCUUGGUGAUAUGGGAGUCGGAAGUAUACAGACUACAUAAGUGAUCUAUUCCUUGGAUUAAUUGAUCAUUAUGAAUUUGGAAUUUUCAAUCUAUUCUAUUCUAUGGGUUUGAAAUUAUCUUUUGCUAAUUUUUUUGUGAUUUUAAGGUCUGUGUAGGUUUUGUUAAUGAAAGUGUUUUUUAGAAGAUCCUCUUUACUACUUUAGGUUUGGUAUAUGAUAGAUUGUGACUUACAUGAAAUCUGAAACUCAACCUUGGUAGGAAACGGUUUUGGCAACUGUCUUUCACUAGACAAAGAAAAGUCCAUGUCUAAUCACUAAAUAAUUUUUAGAUUUGUUGCCUUAGCAUUCAUGUAUUAAUGGUGUGACUGAAUCAUCCGUAAUGGUAGCUAUGGGACAUUUUAAUUCACAAGUUUGUAAAAUGUACAUAGGUUCUUAUUAGUUCAUUCUCUUGGAUUUCACAUCACAACUUAUUAAUUGUGUACACGUUCGCAUGACACGAGUACGAUUUAAAAAUGAAUAUUCAUAGAAAGGGCUUUAGGCGCGACUUAAUUUACCAUCGUGACUGUGUACAUGUUCGCGUGACAUGAUUAUGAUUUCUAAAAUAAAUCGGAGUAUGCGUUCGCGCAACUUCGACUAAACUUUCUAAAUAAUAACAAAGCGUUAUUGAUUGUAGACACAUUCGCGCGACAUGAUUUUUGACGCGCUAAACAAAUGGGUACACGUGCGCGUGACCUGUUUUAAGAUAAUUUCUUAAUUAAAAAAGGUAAAUGCAUAUAUGUUCUAAAAUGAGUAAUUAGACAAUUUUAAUGAGCCAAGUAUGAUCAAAGCGAUCGUGCUAAAACCGCGGAACCUGGGAAUGCCUAACACCUUCUCCCGGGUUAACAGAAUUCCUUAACCGGAUUUCUGUGUUCGCAGACCAUAAAUAAGAGUCAUCUUCCUCGAUUCGGAAUUUUAAACCGGUGACUUGGGACACCAUAAAUUAUCCCAAGUGGCGACUAUGAAUUUAAUAUAAAUAAUCCCGUUUCGAUUGUCACUUAAAUUGGAAAAACUCCCUUAUAUACCCCUCCUGUGGGUGUAGGAAAAAGGAGGUGUGACAACUCUGGCGAUUUCGCUGGGGACAAGAACUCCGAACUUCUGGUUCAGGGUUCAAGAAUUCGAGCUUGUUAAUAUGAUCUAUGCGUGGCUUUAUUGUUGUUGACAUUGUUGUAUUUGUGGACCUAAUGUGCUAACUGCUGCUUAUUUACCGUUUUGAUAUUAUUUGAAUUGUAUAUAAUUGUCUUUUUACGCUACCCCUUUGAGUCUUCUGAAAAUGGGGCACACGUUCGCGUGGCCCAUGUUUCUAUUAGAAGUUAUACCAAAUAGAAUGAGGUUGGACCAGCAACAAGGCCGGGUAGACUUUCGCGCUGCCGGUACGUUGCCCCCUCUUCGGCUCGAGUAGUCCGCUCGGGUAAACCAGGUCAAGAACACAACCCUAGGUUUAAACAUAGAAUAACAUAACCUUAUGUCGGAUCCCUAGUAGGAGCGUUUGUUUGCAUCACGUGCAUGACUUUGGGGACUCAACACAUGAGUUGGGUCCGUCUAGGACGGGUGUACCCAAAAUAAAAGUGAUGCAUCCUAUGUGCGACAUGUUGCAAUCUUUAAGGAUAAAAAGGGUCAUUUGGCGGACCAAAUUAUGGCUAAGGGUUAAUGAGAAAGAAAAGAGGGUGAAGUGUGAAAAUAAAGCAAGUAGGACCCAAUUAUGUUUUUCUUUCACAUUUUUUUUAAGAAAAAAACCAAAAAAAGUAUAUGAAAAAUCCCAAAAAAAAGAUUUUGCACUUUCCCGUCAUUUUCCGAAAAAAAAAGGAAAAUAAAAAUCAAAAAAGAGUUUACAUGUUUAAUCAUUUUUCAAAAAAAAAAGACAAAAAUAUAUUUUUUCGCUAAAUUAGUUGUUUUUUUUUAUUCUCACCUGUAUCCAAUCUUCCAGAACUACGCAUACGUGAUUCUUGUCUUUCGGGGCGUGAUACGUAGGCAACCCACAUAAGAUCCGGUCUUUCUAGUAAGUCUUAGGUUCUUGGCUUUGCGGGGUCUUAGCCAAAUUUUGCAUUUUUAGCCACUUUUAGCCACAUAGGUUAAUUUUAGAAAAAUAGUCACAAUCAUGUCUUGCAUGUGUCCAACAGGAAGUGUUAUUGUCUCACAUAGUGUACUAGGUCUUUAACUUUAUUUGGCCUUAAUUUUCUCUUACAGAUAUGGGUCUACUUACUGGAGUUUGAGCAUGACAGAUACCCCAGGACCACUGCAUUCAGGAGCUGUCUGAGGAGCCUUUUUAUAUUUUUGAGUCUAUUGU